rnacentral:tRNA from 1 species
GGAGUGGUAGCUCAGUUGGUUAGAGCGCCGGCCUGUCACGCCGGAGGUCGCGGGUUCGAGUCCCGUCCACUCCG